CACUAUGUGUUUGCGAGCUAGAGAGAGAGAGAGAGAGAGUGAGAGAGAGAGAGCAGCCAACUCACAUUGGAUCGAUCCAGGUUCGUGUAUAAGAGAGAGGAUGAAAAGUGGUGGGAAAGGGAGGGUGGUUGUGAAGGGGGUUUUGGCAGAAGGUGGAAAAGGGGUGUCCAUGGUGUGCGCCGUCGCCAUCCACACGAACGUCGACGUCAACUGAACCAGAGAAAGUGGGGGCCGUCGACCCUGCAAAAACAACCUCGCGCCUCUAGUUGGUAUUUCGAUACGAUCCGAUCAGGAUCAGUCGUCGUUCGCGCGACACGUGCGUUUAUCCUUCAAUUCUGGCAUUCACCUUCAAUCCCCCCCAGUGUCACGUGCGGUGCACUUUUUUCAUGAUCAGAAAAAAAAAUGGAAAACCAAAUAUUUCUUAUGAUGACUUUCAUGUAGAUUUUAAUUCGAGUUUAUUUAAUCAGUUUUGGACCUUGGGAUCUCCAAUUGCAACAGGAUGGAUCACUGCACUCGAAGAUCUCCUUCAAAGGAGGCCAAGUGCCACCCAAAGUUCAUCCACCUAGUGACCUAAACUUUCAAGGGGUGGUAUUCCCUCUUUGAAUCAUCAGCCGGCGCGUCUCCCAGAGGCUCUUAUUUGUUUGUUCUAAUCGUGCUCCGUUGUUUAGGGAGGGCCUUUGAUCCAGGCUUUCGAUUUGAUGAUUUCAUCAAUCAGACGAAGAGUGUUGUUUCAUUGUGUACAGUUUACUAAGUGAAUUUAUUAAAGGAAUUCCAUAGUUAAAAAUAUUUUAUGAAAAUGAGGCUUGCCGUACGAAUCACGACAAAAUGUGAGGUGAACAUGAGGCAGAAAUAGCUUCAACUGAAAACAGAAAAAAAGUGAUGCAAUGCAGGAAUAAUCGUCUUCUUGAAAAU